rnacentral:lncRNA from 1 species
UUUUAUACGAUGGAAAAUGUAAACAAUGCACGCAAACUAAAAUACACUAAACUCACUAUUAAAAUCGUGGUGGAAGUCAAGCAUCAGUCGUAAACACGUUAUGCAGGUCCACCUUCGUUAUUUUUUAAUGUUUGAGCGAUCCAACGCCGUUGCAGUACACUCGCACUAAAAAAGGAGGUCAUUCCAGUCGACAGUCCCGUCUGUGGAUACGGGUGGCUUGCCGAACCCAUGUUAAGAACCACUCCUUUACAGAAACCGAUAUAUUUGUCUUAUUAAAGUGACCAGCUGCAUAAGAGGCAAACUCAUCAAUCGAAAACACCAGAGAGUCACAUA